CAAGUGCUCUGCUGAGCUGCUAACGUCUAUAUUGAACAUGGCGUCGUAGCGGCUAGUCAUGUCACGACAGUCCAUCAUGGUAGUCUUUUCUUUUUGUAGGUGAAAUUGAAUGAUGGAGAAACUGCAAAUGCUGGGGGACAUCUUGUAUGAACGAUGUGGUCUGGUUAACAUGUUGCCCAGGUGACCAUGUAUUACCAUCGAGUGUAUUUAAAAUGUACCAUUUACUUGUAGGAGGUUGUGGAUUUGUCCUCAGUUUUCCGGAUACCAGCACCCUGAUUCUUGAGGACUACUCUACUUUGUUCUGGGCGACCUACACGAACAUCUGUAUCUGAUUUUGAAGAAAUUAGAUUGAUGGUCUCUGACAACAUAUAGGUGAAACAGGCUCAAUGCAGAAUGUUCUCCAAGCUGCUUCUUCAGCCGCAUAUUUUGGCAUAGCUCACCUUUUCCGAGCUAGCAGCAUCACUCCUCUAAUCAGCACUAGCUUCGGAGAAAUUCAUAUUUUUUCAUUAGGAUUUGUUUUCUUUGCCAUAAAAGAGAAUAAUAUCUAGUACUUUGUUUUGUAGGGGAAAGAUAAUAAAGCUGCUCAACCGUAUGCUGCUAUCCUGGAACUUCAGUCCCAAUUAUUGGAAUCAGUUUUGCAAGGUUUCGCUUUACUUAACUGCUACAAUCCACCCCUGACUGUGGUGAUAACAGAAGACAGGAUCGAUGAAUCUAAAUGGGAAAGACAUUUAAGUCCUAGCUUCAGCACAUCGUCUUUGGAUCAUUUGGAGGCUCCCCCUAAACUGCUUUUUGACAUUAAAUGCUGUUGCUUCCCAUACCUUAAGAAUGCUGUCCAAACGGAUCAACAGCCGAAUGAGAGGAAUCCUUUAACUUUGGUGUUGGAACAAUCCUUGUCAUUGCUCCUGUCUCAAGCUCUGUUGUACAUCCUCGAUCCACGUAUGUGCCCUCAAGAAAAACAACUGCUCAAGGAGAGAACUUGGUGCCGAGCUGGGCAGCUUUGUCGAAUCGAUAAGGCGGCAGGUUCAAAGGAGUUUACGCUCUCCGGCCAGUAUAUCCUCUUAAGCCACGGUCUAUCAUUUCAACAGUGAAUCAAGAUUCCCUUAAACGUGUAAGACACAUUGUUCAAUGCUUUUUCAAAUAGCUGGCUCAAGAGAGCCAGAAAUUCACUAAUGUAUUUAAAGCAUGAUCAUUAAACUUUUGAAGUUUCGAUAUAAUAUUCUAA